CAGCCGCGUAAUUCCAGCUCCAAUAGCGUAUAUUAAAGUUGCUGCAGUUAAAAAGCUCGUAGUUGAAUUUCGGGACCAUCAUGUCGGUCGUGCCUCGGUACGUACUGGUAUUGUUGGUUUCUCCCUUCUGACGAACCAUGAUGUCAUUUAUUUGGUGUUGUGGGAAAUCAGGACUGUUACUUUGAAAAAAUUAGAGUGUUUAAAGCAGGCUCACGCUUGAAUACAUUAGCAUGGAAUAAUGAAAUAGGACGUUUGAUUCUAUUUUGUUGGUUUCUAGGAUCGACGUAAUGAUUAAUAGGGAUAGUUGGGGGCAUUAGUAUUCAAUUGUCAGAGGUGAAAUUCUUGGAUUUAUUGAAGACUAACUACUGCGAAAGCAUUUGCCAAGGAUGUUUUCAUUAAUCAAGAACGAAAGUUAGGGGAUCGAAGACGAUCAGAUACCGUCGUAGUCUUAACCAUAAACUAUGCCGACUAGGGAUCGGAUGAUGUUAAUUUUUUAAUGACUCAUUCGGCGCCUUACG
rnacentral:misc_RNA from 1 species